rnacentral:misc_RNA from 1 species
GAAAUGCGAUAAUUAAUGUGAAUUGCAGAAUUCAGUGAAUCAUCGAGUCUUUGAACGCACAUUGCGCCCCCUGGUAUUCCGGGGGGCAUGCCUGUCCGAGCGUCAUUGCUGCCCUCAAGCACGGCUUGUGUGUUGGGCUUCCGUCCCUGGCAACGGGGACGGGCGCAAAAGGCAGUGGCGGCACCAUGUCUGGUCCUCGAGCGUAUGGGGCUGUGUCACCCGCUCCCGUAGGUCCAGCUGGCAGCUAGCCUCGCAACCAAUCUUUUUAACCAGGUUGACCUCGGAUCAGGUAGGGAUACCCGCUGAACUUAAGC